rnacentral:rRNA from 1 species
UACGUAGGGUGCAAGCGUUAAUCGGAAUUACUGGGCGUAAAGCGUGCGCAGGCGGUUGUGCAAGACCGAUGUGAAAUCCCCGGGCUUAACCUGGGAAUGGCAUUGGUGACUGCACGGCUAGAGUGUGUCAGAGGGGGGUAGAAUUCCACGUGUAGCAGUGAAAUGCGUAGAUAUGUGGAGGAAUACCGAUGGCGAAGGCAGCCCCCUGGGAUAACACUGACGCUCGUGCACGAAAGCGUGGGGAGCAAACAGG